GACGAACGCUGGCGGCGUGCUUAACACAUGCAAGUCGAACGGAGCGAAUGAAAGCUUGCUUUUAUGAGCUUAGUGGCAAACGGGUGAGUAACACGUAGACAACCUGCCGAUCAGAUGGGGACAACAUUCCGAAAGGAAUGCUAAUACCGAAUGGCGUGUAGGGGAGGCAUCUUCCCUACAUGAAAGAUGGCCUCUAUUUAUAAGCUAUCACUGAUCGAUGGGUCUGCGUCUGAUUAGCUGGUAGGUAAGGUAACGGCUUACCUAGGCGACGAUCAGUAGCCGGUCUGAGAGGAUGAACGGCCACAUUGGGACUGAGACACGGCCCAGACUCCUACGGGAGGCAGCAGUGGGGAAUCUUCCGCAAUGGGCGCAAGCCUGACGGAGCAACGCCGCGUGAGUGAAGAAGGUCUUCGGAUCGUAAAGCUCUGUUGAAGGGGACGAACGUACAUA
rnacentral:rRNA from 1 species